rnacentral:misc_RNA from 1 species
GAUGAAGAACGCAGCGAAAUGCGAUAAGUAGUGUGAAUUGCAGAAUUUAGUGAAUCAUCGAAUCUUUGAACGCACAUUGCGCCCCUUGGUAUUCCAUGGGGCAUGCCUGUUCGAGCGUCAUUUGUACCUUUAAGCUCUGCUUGGUGUUGGGUGUUUGUCUCGCCUCUGCGUGUAGACUCGCCUCAAAACAAUUGGCAGCCGGCGUAUUGAUUUCGGAGCGCAGUACAUCUCGCGCUUUGCACUCAUAACGACGACGUCCAAAAGUACAUUUUUACACUCUUGACCUCGGAUCAGGUAGGGAUACCCGCUGAACUUAAGCAUAUCAAUAAGCGGAGGA